rnacentral:rRNA from 1 species
AUUGAACGCUGGCGGCAGGCUUAACACAUGCAAGUCGAACGAUGAAGAUAUAGCUUGCUAUAUCGGAUUAGUGGCGGACGGGUGAGUAACACCUAGGAAUCUACCUUUUAGCGGGGGAUAGCUCGGGGAAACUCGAAUUAAUACCGCAUAAUUUCUACGGAAUAAAGAGGGCUUUUAGCUCUCACUAGAAGAUGAGCCUAAGUAAGGUUAGCUAGUUGGUGGGGUAAAAGCCUACCAAGGCGACGAUCUUUAGCUGGUCUGAGAGGAUGAUCAGCCACACUGGGACUGAGACACGGCCCAGACUCCUACGGGAGGCAGCAGUGGGGAAUAUUGGACAAUGGGGGCAACCCUGAUCCAGCCAUGCCGCGUGUGUGAAGAAGGCCUUUUGGUUGUAAAGCACUUUAAGCAGUGAAGAAGACCUAUUGGUUAAUACCCAAUAGCGAUGACAUUAACUGCAGAAUAAGCACCGGCUAACUCUGUGCCAGCAGCCGCGGUAAUACAGAGGGUGCAAGCGUUAAUCGGAAUUACUGGGCGUAAAGCGAGCGUAGGUGGUUAAAUAAGUCAGAUGUGAAAGCCCUGGGCUCAACCUAGGAACGGCAACUGAAACUAUUUAACUAGAGUAGGUGAGAGGGAAGUAGAAUUUCAGGUGUAGCGGUGAAAUGCGUAGAGAUCUGAAGGAAUACCGAUGGCGAAGGCAGCUUCCUGGCAUCAUACUGACACUGAGGCUCGAAAGCGUGGGUAGCAAACAGG